rnacentral:rRNA from 1 species
UACAGAGACUGCAAGCGUUAUUCGGAUUCACUGGGCGUAAAGGGUGCGCAGGUGGCCGUGUGUGUCAGAUGUGAAAUCCCGGGGCUUAACUCCGGAACUGCGUCUGAAACUACACGGCUAGAGCAUUGGAGAGGGUAGUGGAAUUCACGGUGUAGCAGUGAAAUGCGUAGAUAUCGUGAGGAACACCAGAGGCGAAGGCGACUACCUGGACCAACACUGACACUGAGGAGCGAAAGCCAGGGGAGCAAACGGG